rnacentral:rRNA from 1 species
GUGCGUAACGCGUAUACAAUCUGCCUUUCACAUAGGGAUAGCCCGAAGAAAUUUGGAUUAAUACCUAAUAGUAUAUAGGUGUGGCAUCACAUUUAUAUUAAAGCUGAGGCGGUGAAAGAUGAGUAUGCGUUCUAUUAGCUAGUUGGAGAGGUAACGGCUCCCCAAGGCUACGAUAGAUAGGGGUUCUGAGAGGGAUAUCCCCCACACUGGUACUGAGAUACGGACCAGACUCCUACGGGAGGCAGCAGUGAGGAAUAUUGGACAAUGGUCGGAAGACUGAUCCAGCCAUGCCGCGUGCAGGAAGACGGCCUUAUGGGUUGUAAACUGCU